rnacentral:rRNA from 1 species
UACGUAGGGUGCGAGCGUUGUCCGGAAUUAUUGGGCGUAAAGAGCUUGUAGGCGGUCUGUCGCGUCUGCUGUGAAAAUCCGGGGCUCAACCCCGGACUUGCAGUGGGUACGGGCAGACUAGAGUGCGGUAGGGGAGAUUGGAAUUCCUGGUGUAGCGGUGGAAUGCGCAGAUAUCAGGAGGAACACCGAUGGCGAAGGCAGAUCUCUGGGCCGUAACUGACACUGCGGAGCGAAAGCGUGGGGAGCGAACAGG